AUGUAUUGUAUACAAUUAUCCCAAUGCUGCUAGACCUUUACACUCUAAUAACUCUAGGUGAUAUCAUUUCUUGCCCUUGACCUUUACACUCUAAUAACUCUAGGUGAUAUCAUUUCUUGCCCUAGACCUUUACACUCUAAUAACUCUAGGUGAUAUAAUUUCUUGCCCUAGACCUUUACACUCUAAUAACUCUAGGUGAUAUCAUUUCUUGCCCUACCCUUUACACUCUAAUAACUCUAGGUGAUAUCAUUUCUUGGCCUAUACCUUUACACUUUAAUAACUCUAGGUGAUAUCAUUUCUUGCCCUAGACCUUUACACUCUAAUAACUCUAGGUGAUAUCAUUUCUUGCCCUAGACCUUAACACUCUAAUAACUCUAGUUGAUAUCAUUUCUUGCCCUACCCUCAUCACUCUAAUAACUCUAGGUGAUAUCAUUUCUUGCCCUAUA